rnacentral:rRNA from 1 species
AUUGAACGCUGGCGGCAGGCCUAACACAUGCAAGUCGAGCGGAUGAAGGGAGCUUGCUCCUGGAUUCAGCGGCGGACGGGUGAGUAAUGCCUAGGAAUCUGCCUGGUAGUGGGGGAUAACGUCCGGAAACGGGCGCUAAUAACGCAUACGUCCUGAGGGAGAAAGUGGGGGAUCUUCGGACCUCACGCUAUCAGAUGAGCCUAGGUCGGAUUAGCUAGUUGGUGGGGUAAAGGCCUACCAAGGCGACGAUCCGUAACUGGUCUGAGAGGAUGAUCAGUCACACUGGAACUGAGACACGGUCCAGACUCCUACGGGAGGCAGCAGUGGGGAAUAUUGGACGAUGGGCGAAAGCCUGAUCCAGCCAUGCCGCGUGUGUGAAGAAGGCCUUCGGAUUGUAAAGCACUUUAAGUUGGGAGGAAGGGCAGUAAGUUAAUACCUUGCUGUUUUGACGUUACCAACAGAAUAAGCACCGGCUAACUUCGUG